UUCGAACCUAUGGAGUCACGCAUAAAGUCAGACAAGUAGAAAAGAAUUGAUCUAUGUCUAUGCAUUCAAUUUAAAAGUACGUAACUUGAUUGAACAAAUAGAUUAGCUUAAUUGAGAAUUAAGUUAGAAGUCAUACAAGAUUAAAUAGUUGACUAUGUCUAGCUAGCACUAGACAUGAGGUUCAAAUUUAAUUUCGAGGAUGAUAAUGAUCUGAUCAAUGAUCCAAA
rnacentral:lncRNA from 1 species